GGGGCGUGGUGUGGCAAGCGAGGGGCGUGGUGUGGCAAGCGCCACGCCCGGCCACCUUUGUCUCUCCACUGCUGACGAUGUUUACACGGUCCGUACCAGACCCGGAGUUCUCAACCCGCUGUCGUUGGCGAAUUGCUGCCGUUGUCCGUCGCGACCACAAAGGGACAUCGUCCGGCCCCACCGGUCUGACCGCUUCGACGCAGAAGCCACCUGGCCAUCACAAAUGAUACCUCAAGGAAAGUGGAUUUCAUUAUCAUCGUCACGUGGAAAUGUUUUGCGGCCAAACGCUCAGCACGCGCGAUGCUGACUCUCAAUGAGGAGGGAAAACCCGGAGAACCCGGAGCAAAAUCCACGCGCCCACGGGAAGAGAGAGAGACAGACGUGCAAACUCCAA